rnacentral:rRNA from 1 species
GAUGAACGCUGGCGGCGUGCCUAAUACAUGCAAGUCGAGCGAACGGACGAGAAGCUUGCUUCUCUGAUGUUAGCGGCGGACGGAUGAGUAACACGUGGAUAACCUACCUAUAAGACUGGGAUAACUUCGGGAAACCGGAGCUAAUACCGGAUAAUAUUUUGAACCGCAUGGUUCAAAAGUGAAAGACGGUCUUGCUGUCACUUAUAGAUGGAUCCGCGCUGCAUUAGCUAGUUGGUAAGGUAACGGCUUACCAAGGCAACGAUGCAUAGCCGACCUGAGAGGGUGAUCGGCCACACUGGAACUGAGACACGGUCCAGACUCCUACGGGAGGCAGCAGUAGGGAAUCUUCCGCAGUGGGCGAAAGCCUGACGGAGCAACGCCGCGUGAGUGAUGAAGGUCUUCGGAUCGUAAAACUCUGUUAUAGGGAAGAACAUAUGUGUAAGUAACUGUGCACAUCUUGACGGUACCUAAUCAGAAAGCCACGGCUAACUACGUG